CAGAAGAGUUCUGCAAAUACCUGGUCCAAAAGUCAUGGGCAAAGCUACUAGGCCAAUUCCUAUUUAAAACAUUCACAGCCCAAACCCAUGUCGGCCCACUCUCAAUAUUUUACUAAUAGCCAAAUACCUCCCUCUGAAACGCAAACUUCAUUCUAAAAAACACAAGCUUCUGCUUCCACACGCAGCUCUGGUUUGACAUCAUCACCGGCUCCGGCACAGCGUUAUUCAAAUAGAGAAUAUUUAGACAUGAGAGCGAAUGGACUCUGUUUCCGCUGUCAACAACCCUACAGCCCAUUACAUAAGUUGCGCAGCUUUCCUUGUUAGAACUUCCAUUGACUGCCAUGGGAGGGAUUGACGGUCCUAAGACAAUGAAAUUUCAGGGCCGAAUUGCAGGUCUUGAUAUUCUUAUAGUGGUAGACAGUGGUGCAAGUCAUAAUUUCAUCUCUCGUCGCUUGACC